rnacentral:rRNA from 1 species
CUGGCGGUAUGCUUAACACAUGCAAGUCGAACGGUAACAGGCCUUCGGGCGCUGACGAGUGGCGGACGGGUGAGUAACGCGUAGGAAUCUGCCUUAUAGUGGGGGACAACGUGGGGAAACCCACGCUAAUACCGCAUACGCCCUACGGGGGAAAGGAGGGGAUCUUCGGACCUUUCGCUAUGAGAUGAGCCUGCGUUAGAUUAGCUAGUUGGUAGGGUAAAGGCCUACCAAGGCGACGAUCUAUAGCUGGUCUGAGAGGACGAUCAGCCACACUGGGACUGAGACACGGCCCAGACUCCUACGGGAGGCAGCAGUGGGGAAUAUUGGACAAUGGGCGCAAGCCUGAUCCAGCAAUACCGCGUGUGUGAAGAAGGCCUUCGGGUUGUAAAGCACUUUCAAUUGGGAGGAAAACCUGCCGGUCAAUACCCGGUAGCUUGACAUUACCUUUAGAAGAAGCACCGGCUAACUCCGUGCCAGCAGCCGCGGUAAUACGGAGGGUGCGAGCGUUAAUCGGAAUUACUGGGCGUAAAGCGUGCGUAGGCGGUUCGUUAAGUCAGAUGUGAAAGCCCCGGGCUUAACCUGGGAACUGCAUUUGAAACUGGCGAACUAGAGUUGAGUAGAGGGGAGUGGAAUUUCAGGUGUAGCGGUGAAAUGCGUAGAUAUCUGAAGGAACACCAGUGGCGAAGGCGACUCCCUGGACUCAAACUGACGCUGAGGUACGAAAGCGUGGGUAGCAAACAGGAUUAGAUACCCUGGUAGUCC